rnacentral:rRNA from 2 species
CCCUUCAGAGGGGGACAACAGUUGGAAACGACUGCUAAUACCGCAUACGAUCUAAUCUCGGCAUCGAGGAUGGAUGAAAGGUGGCCUCUAUUUAUAAGCUAUCACUGAAGGAGGGGAUUGCGUCUGAUUAGCUAGUUGGAGGGGUAACGGCCCACCAAGGCGAUGAUCAGUAGCCGGUCUGAGAGGAUGAACGGCCACAUUGGGACUGAGACACGGCCCAG